CCUCACCUUCUGGAUGGCGGCCGGCGUGAUCUCGCCCUUCCCCCGCUGCCUCGGUGCCGCGAAUGCCACCGACAUGUCGGGUCCCUGCGCGCAGCAGGCUCCAGCGCCCUGGCCGCGGACGAAGCAGCGGCAGGAGGAGGUCUACUUUUGGAGUUUACUCCCUUUAUUGUUAAGAGGAUUUUGAGCUUUUACAUAUUUUGGAUGAAAGUGAUGGAUCACUUAUUAUAAGCAAAUCAGAAAAGGUACACAUGGGAUGGCAUCUGCUACCAAGUACUGCUGUAGCAAGGUCUUGGUGACUUGCUUCCUCCUUUGAAAAACAAUAACGCUGUCACAGAGAAGCCUUUCCUGCAGAAAUGGCUCCAGGCACCCUUUCCCCUUUAUGAGCUAUCAUUGGCCUUCUGAAGAAUCAUCACCAUUAACAAGAGAGGAACAAACUUUGAAUUACCACAGGACGUGAUUCCUGCUUUGCCAGCACUCAUCAGCAAUAUGCAGCUGCAAGAUGGAGUCAGAAUGAUACCAGAUAUAAGUUUUCUGUCAGAGGGCCUGAUCCUGAAUGCAGAGCAUCUGCAAUUCCCACUAAAGCUGAGUAUCACCAUCACCAAAAACACUAUGAUCAAGAUUCAGAAAGGGAGCACAGCUCAUUUCUUAUGAUCUUAUGAGUAUUGGUAAAAAUUAAGAAUUCACAAAGCUUUUAUGCAGGUUUGUAUUGGCUUACAGGGAAAUCUCCCAGGAAGCCUCAGGACUUGGAGACCCCAAAACCCAUCCAUUAACUGGGAG